UCAGUGAUAUCAAAUUCUUCCUCCAGUGC
rnacentral:sRNA from 1 species